rnacentral:snoRNA from 2 species
UACCGCCCAUUUGCCUCCCGAGCACCGAUUUGUUCAUGGUGUCUUGGGACUUCCUAUAUUGGCGGCAUAGUAAUCCAGCCUUUCGUGCGUAUUCCUUCGCUGCAGUCUAUCUUGCCGCAUCGAGGAGCAUGACGACUGGACACU